rnacentral:rRNA from 1 species
UGGGGAAUAUUGGACAAUGGGGGGAACCCUGAUCCAGCCAUGCCGCGUGUGUGAAGAAGGCCUUAUGGUUGUAAAGCACUUUAAGCGAGGAGGAGGGUACUGGUAUUAAUACUACCAGCUACUGGACGUUACUCGCAGAAUAAGCACCGGCUAACUCUGUGCCAGCAGCCGCGGUAAUACAGAGGGUGCGAGCGUUAAUCGGAUUUACUGGGCGUAAAGCGUGCGUAGGCGGCUAAUUGAGUCGGAUGUGAAAUCCCCGAGCUUAACUUGGGAAUUGCAUUCGAUACUGGUUAGCUAGAGUGUGGGAGAGGAUGGUAGAAUUCCAGGUGUAGCGGAGAAAUGCGUAGAGAUCUGGAGGAAUACCGAUGGCGAAGGCAGCCAUCUGGCCUAACACUGACGCUGAGGUACGAAAGCAUGGGGAGCAAACAGG